rnacentral:rRNA from 1 species
UCGUGUGACGGAAGACGUUCGCGUUUUCCGCGCCUUCCGCCUGUCGAUCCGAUAGCGAACGCGUGCACUUUUCUCCUGGUAGGACGUCGCGAUCCGUUGGGUGUCGGUCUACGGCUCGCGGUGGAGCCCGGACGUACGGCUUGCCGUCACGUUCGGACCCGCGUGUCCCGGCUGACUCGCUCGACGGUAUACGAAAGGUUUAAGGCCGCUCUUAGAGCGUUCGGCUCGCUGCAAGCGCGUCAGAUGUGUCGGCGAUCGGACCUAGUGCCGGUUCUGACCUCUGGCGACUGUUGGCCGCGAAGUUCUCGAACAGACCUUCAGACCGAUCUGCGACGCUAUAGCUUUGGGUACUUUCAGGACCCGUCUUGAAACACGGACCAAGGAGUCUAGCAUGUGCGCGAGUCAUUGGGAAUCACUAAACCUAAAGGCGCAAUGAAAGUAAAGGUCCGCCUCGCGCGGACUUAGGGAAGACGGGCGGUUUACCCUUAAAAGUGGCCGCCCCGCACUCCCGGGGCGUCUCAUUCUCAUCGCGAGAAGAGGCGCACCAAGAGCGUACACGCUGGGACCCGAAAGAUGGUGAACUAUGCCUGGUCAGGACGAAGUCAGGGGAAACCCUGAUGGAGGUCCGUAGCGAUUCUGACGUGCAAAUCGAUCGUCGGAACUGGGUAUAGGGGCGAAAGACUAAUCGAACCAUCUAGUAGCUGGUUCCCUCCGAAGUUUCCCUCAGGAUAGCUGGCGCUCGUUGCGCACGAGUCUCAUCCGGUAAAGCGAAUGAUUAGAGGCAUUGGGGUCGAAACGACCUCAACCUAUUCUCAAACUUUAAAUGGGUGAG